UACGGGGGGGGCAAGCGUUGUUCGGAAUUACUGGGCGUAAAGGGCGCGUAGGCGGCCUGAUAAGUAGGGGGUGAAAUCCUGCGGCUUAACCGCAGGGCUGCCUUCUAAACUGUCAGGCUAGAGCACGGUAGAGGCAGAUGGAAUUCCCGGUGUAGCGGUGGAAUGCGUAGAGAUCGGGAGGAACACCAGUGGCGAAAGCGGCUACCUGGCCCAUUCUUGACGCUGAGGCGCGAAAGCUAGGGGAGCAAACGGG
rnacentral:rRNA from 1 species